AUUGAACGCUGGCGGCAGGCUUAACACAUGCAAGUCGAGCGGGGACUUCGGUCCUGGCGGCGAACGGGUGAGGAAUGCUUGGGAAUCUGCCCAGUAGCGGGGGAUAACGCUUCGAAAGGAACGCUAAUACCGCAUACGCCCUACGGGGGAACGGGGGAGAUCUUCGGACCUCUCACUAUUGGAUGAGCCCAAGUCGGAUUAGCUAGUUGGUGGGGUAAAGGCCUACCAAGGCGACGAUCCGUAGCUGGUCUGAGAGGAUGAUCAGCCACACUGGAACUGAGACACGGUCCAGACUCCUACGGGAGGCAGCAGUGGGGAAUAUUGGACAAUGGGCGAAAGCCUGAUCCAGCCAUGCCGCGUGUGUGAAGAAGGCCUUCGGGUUGUAAAGCACUUUAAGCGAGGAGGAAUGGCUCUUGGUUAAUAACCUUGAGCAGUGACGUUACUCGCAGAAUAAGCACCGGCUAACUCUGUGCCAGCCGCCGCUGUAACAC
rnacentral:rRNA from 1 species